UUUAAGAAAAGGCAAAUCCUAAAACCCCUCCGAACUCUCUAUAUCUAAUAAAACCACCAUGACUCUAUAUCGCGUCCUAAUUGGCUCCCUCCGCCACACAUCCCCUCUUUACACCACCUCUGCCCGUCAAACCCUAGCUCAAAAUCCAACCUUUCUUCUCCCAAUUCGCAAUUUUGCUUUAUCCUCAGCCGAAGAAGCCGCCGCCGAACGCCGUCGUCACAAUCGCCGCCUUCGCAUCGAACCAGAUGUAUGGCACAACUUGCUCAUAAGUCACUAUAAAGUUAGUAUCAUAUCCCUCUUAGUUUAAAGAUCAAUGUUUUAGCCCUUUUUUUCCUUUACACACUCCCACUGAGCUAAUGAUUUGCACUGAAAAACAGAGAUUGAGAGAGAAAUCCACAUAGAAUACCAUCAUUUUAUUACAGUUUGAAUGGUUUUGGGUGUUUUCAUGAACAUAUGAUGAAAUAUUUUGUGUAUUUACAUGAUGGGGUGCCUUUCUUUUUCUUCUUCAAUUUCAUAUGAGCCUGUAUGUCCUAUUAUCCUUAUACACACGUUAAUGAAAUAUCAUUAUUCAAUUAUAUAAUUUUAGUCAGAUGAAAAAAUAUCUCUUGAUUCUGGUUAAUAUUGUGAAUCAAUUUUAUUUUGAAUGUAUGGAUAGAGAUUCAUAUAUAGUCAUAUUCAUUUAGUCCUUCUAAGCUUUCAAGUUCCUGGUAGGUUUCUCUAGAAAUUUGAUCAAUUUUCCCCAUAUUUUUUUCUGGGUGCCUUGAACAUGUAUCGGAAUAUUUAUGAUGAUCUUUUUUUUUUCUUCAAAUGUUACGAGAAUUUGAUUAAUGGCUGCUUUAAGGUGACCUUGAAGAUAAUCAACUGUGCUGCAGACGUUGUUCAAGCGUUUUAGUAAGGAUAAUGUACAGAGUAUGGUAUAUAGUGGU
rnacentral:lncRNA from 1 species